UAUCUAGGUUGUAGCCUGAUAUGGCUACAAAGGAUAAAGAGGCCACUGCUAGGUUUGAAGAGUUUCAAAGAGGCCUAACUGAGGCAGGAAUGGGAAGCUAACAGCAACGCAAGAGUCUCUUCAAGGGUCAGCUGCCCAGCCCUGCGGAGGAAUAAGCUAUUUGUGGAAGCCUCAUGGGUGCUGCUGGACAGAUGGGGUGUCGUUCACGUGUCUACCCAAAUGCACAGCCAUCCUCCAUCCUCCCAGUAGAGUCAAAGCUGCCUGGAAAAUAGAGUCUCUCAGGAAGGCACAGCCUGAUUUCAGUGAAGCUCACAUGGAACCUCUCAUGGAGACACGCGGUUCCCCAUUUUGACCCGGUGGGCACCACCCCAGUGUCCCACAGCCCUGUCUACUGACACUGAAGUCAUGAGUCUCUCUCAGUUCUGUGUGUUGGGGGCUCCUGGCAGGGAUUGCUGGCAGCUCCUUUACUUGUGUGAAGAUGGAUAAAGUGAGGUCUACUGCUGA